AGGCUGGGAUUUGUUGCAAUGCU
rnacentral:miRNA from 1 species